rnacentral:misc_RNA from 1 species
CAGAGUUGCAAAACUCCAAACCCAUGUGAACAUACCUCGUGUUGCCUCGGCGGCGAGCGUAGUGCUCGGGAGGUGCCUACCCGGUACCUACCCUUGAGCUACCCUGGAGCUUCCUACCCGGGAGCUGCACGGUACCUACCCUGGAGCUACCCGGUAGCUACCCUGGAGGACUUGCGCAUCCGCCGAAGGACCACUCAAACUCUUGUUUCUGUGUGGCACAUCUGAGUUAUUAUAUUAAUAAGUCA